rfam:Snodgrassella alvi SCGC AB-598-P14 SCG598P14_11051, whole genome shotgun sequence.
GUGGUUAAGACACCGGAUUCUGAUUCCGGUAUGCGUAGGUUCGAAUCCUACCUCCCCAG